UCAUAUACUAAAAUUGGAACAAUACAGAGAAGAUUAGCAAGGUCCCUGUGUAAGGA
ensembl:snRNA U6 U6 spliceosomal RNA